rnacentral:rRNA from 1 species
AUCUGAACAUCGAUCAUCUUGAACGCAUAUUGCGGUCACAGGCUUGCCUGUGGCCACGCCUGUCCGAGGGUCGGCUUCUAUACUAUCACGACGCCCAAAAAGUCGUGGCUUGGGUAAUGCCAACUGACGUGAUUUCCCUGGGCCUGAUAAUCAUUGUUGUAGCAAUUGAUUGAUUGAUUGAUCAGGUUGGGUGUCAGGACCAUGGCGUUUCCCUGAUGUAUCCGAACACAUUUGCAUCAUGAGAUGUGACUCGGGUGAGAAUGUGACGACGGAGUCGUGGCUCAGUGCAUUAUUAUUGUUUAUCGCGCUGCGUUCGUACAUUUUCAUCUGCCGGUCGAUGCUUGGAUGUUGUUCGAAGAAUUUUCCUCUCCCGACCUCGGAUCAGACGUGAAUACCCGCUGAACUUAAGCAUAUCACUAAGCGGCGGAUGAGAAACUAACAAGGAUUCCCUUAGUAACGGCGAGUGAACAGGGAUUAGCCCAGCACCGAAGCCCUUGGCCAUUUGGUCAUUAGGCAAUGUGGUGUUUAGGUUGGUCCGCAGAGGCACUGCUCCACUCUGAGUCCAGCAAUGAGUAUGGUAGCAUGGACAUGGCCCAUUGAGGGUGAAAGGCCCGUAAGAGUGGAGUUCAGGCAGGCCAGUGCCUCUCUGGAUUGACCAAAGAGUCGGGUUGUUUGUGAAUGCAGCCCAAAGUGGGUGGUAAACUCCAUCCAAGGCUAAAUACAAGCACGAGUCCGAUAGCAAACAAGUACCGUGAGGGAAAGUUGAAAAGUACUUUGAAGAGAGAGUAAACAGUGCGUGAAACCGCUCAGAGGUAAACGGGUGGAGUUGAACUGCAUGCUCCGUGAAUUCAGCUGGUGAGAUUGUUGUGGGCUUGGUCAUGUGGGGUGGACAAUGAGGUAUGCUUAGCUGCAUGUCCCGGCCGGCUGGUUGGGAUGCGCGAUACGCUCAUCAUGCGUUGCGCGCCUCUGCUGUUCAUCUGCCCUCUCUCCAGUGCAUUUUCGCGGAGUGUUCACCAAGACCGGCGUUGCUGUCCGGCUGCUUUAGUUAAACCGGUCUUACGCGUCCUUGUGGCGUUGUUUGGUCGGGACGGCAGGUAGCCCGUUGGCUUGCUUUGCAUGCUUUCGUGUGUAAUCAGCUGACUAAAGCGGGACUGUGCAGUACGUCGGAGCUGGCGGCCAGUUGUGCCUGCUCGUGCGUCAUGCCUUCCGAAGCAUCCUGUUCUGAUCGCCAUGUUGCCUGUCUCGGCAGGUCUGGUGGUGGACAGGGUUCUAUUGGUUGGUGGUUCCUCGGGUAGCACUUUAUAGAGCCAAUAGUCUUUGGUGUCGUGGUAGACUAUCCACCUGACCCGUCUUGAAACACGGACCAAGGAGAGUAACAUGUGCGCGAGUCAUUGGGCGUAACGAAACCCAAAGGCGCAGUGAAAGUAAAGGUCUGACUUGUUCAGUCUGAGGUGAGAUCCUGUUGUUUCUCAUGCCUGGUACCACCAAGCUUGGAGCGACAGGCGCAUCACCGGCCCGUCCCAUGAUGUAGACACGGUCAUUGUACUCGUGCACCGUCGGGGCGGAGCAUGAGCGCACAUGUUGAGACCCGAAAGAUGGUGAACUAUGCUUGCGCAGGUUGAAGCCAGAGGAAACUCUGGUGGAGGACCGCAGCGAUUCUGACGUGCAAAUCGAUCGUCAAACGUGAGUAUAGGGGCGAAAGACUAAUCGAACCAUCUAGUAGCUGGUUCCCUCCGAAGUUUCCCUCAGGAUAGCUGA